GUCUACGUAGCUUAGUAGGUAAAACACCCGAUUAUGGUACGAUAGACUCGGGUUCGAGCCCCGAUGAAGGCA